CACGUAGGGCGCAAGCGUUGUCCGGAAUUAUUGGGCGUAAAGAGCUCGUAGGCGGCCUGUUGCGUCUGCUGUGAAAUCCCGGGGCUUAACCCCGGGCGUGCAGUGGAUACGGGCAGGCUGGAGGCAGGCAGGGGAGAACGGAAUUCCCGGUGUAGCGGUGAAAUGCGCAGAUAUCGGGAGGAACACCGGUGGCGAAGGCGGUUCUCUGGGCCUGUACUGACGCUGAGGAGCGAAAGCGUGGGGAGCGAACAGG
rnacentral:rRNA from 1 species